UAGCCUAGUGGUUAAGGCUUUGGAUUGCCAAUCCGGAGACGGCGGGUUCGAUUUUCGU
rfam:Aedes albopictus isolate Foshan contig119269, whole genome shotgun sequence.